AGGAAAGUCAGGUAGGAGGUUUCGGCUGUGUUAUAUGUUUUUUCUAUGCUUGGUUAUUUUAAUUACUUGCGUUUACGAUACUUUUUUGUUGACAGUUUUGUUUCUAAGGUUCAAGGGCAGUGGGGACUGGAGAAGAUGGGCACUGGGCAGAUAUUCAACAGAAAUGUACACACGGCAAGAUUGUUUCUAGAACCUAUUGCUGUUUUCCCUUAUUAUAAAAAACAGAUUUGAGGCUUAACUUUUCACUACUGAUAUCACAAGAAAUGAUAUGCUGAUUACAUGCAUCAAGUCAAAAGUAUGAAAAGUGAAGUAAAAUGUUAUGGCCUAUGGCUUAUGAGUGAUCAGUGAAGAGAUAGGUACAACACCAGGGAAUAAGUUAAUAUUUGUGGGAAUUGUAAUAGCAACUCAGCUUGAACUCGCAAUCUUCUCUGGACUCAGUUUCUGGAAAGGCUCUUUGUUUUUCCUGUUUCGCAUUCACAUUUCAAGUAUGUAUGUUGAAUAGGUUUGUGUGUUAAAUAGAAUUAGUAAAAUAUGUACUUGCAAAGCAUCAAGUGACAAGUGUAUAGGUUCAUUUCUGUUUUCUGCCUAUUCUUAUGUUGUGUGCAACUUCUCAAAUGCUUGUGUUAACUGUGAUGCUAUAGAACUAGAAGAAUAAACAAAACCUGAUAAGCUA